rnacentral:rRNA from 1 species
AGAGUUUGAUCCUGGCUCAGGACGAACGUUGGCGGCGUGCUUAACACAUGCAAGUCGAGCGGUUGAGAGGUGGGAGGUGAGAGGUUAGACGUGAGAGAAAGUAACUUCUUAAUAGCGGCGGACGGGUGAGUAACGCGUGGAUAAUCUGCCUGUAAGACAGGGAUAACGCCGGGAAACCGGUGCUAAUACCCGAUAACCUCUUUGGAUCGCAUGGUUUGAAGAGAAAAGGUGGCCUCUUUACAAUGCUACCACUUACAGAUGAAUCCGCGUCCCAUUAGCCAGUUGGUGGGGUAAAGGCCUACCAAAGCGACGAUGGGUAGCCGGCCUGAGAGGGUGACCGGCCACACUGGAACUGAGAUACGGUCCAGACUCCUACGGGAGGCAGCAGUGGGGAAUCUUCCGCAAUGGGCGAAAGCCUGACGGAGCAACGCCGCGUGAGCGAAGAAGGUUUUCGGAUUGUAAAGCUCUGUGAUAUUGGACGAAUGUUCUUCCUGUAAAUAAUGGGAAGAAGUGACGGUACAAUAAGAGGAAGCCACGGCUAACUACGUGCCAGCAGCCGCGGUAAUACGUAGGUGGCAAACGUUGUCCGGAAUUACUGGGCGUAAAGGGCGAGUAGGUGGUUUAUUAAGUCAGAAGUGAAAACUCCGGGCUCAACUCGGAGACUGCUCCUGAAACUGGCAGACUUGAGUGCAAAAGAGGGAAGUGGAAUUCCUAGUGUAGCGGUGAAAUGCGUAGAUAUUAGGAGGAACACCAGUGGCGAAAGCGACUUCCUGGCUUGUAACUGACACUGAGGCGCGAAAGCGUGGGGAUCAAACAGGAUUAGAUACCCUGGUAGUCCACGCUGUAAACGAUGAGUGCUAGGUGUCGGGGGUAUCGACCCCCUCGGUGCCGCAGCUAACGCAUUAAGCUCCCCGCCUGGGGAGUACGGUCGCAAGACUGAAACUCAAAGGAAUUGACGGGGGCCCGCACAAGCGGUGGAUUAUGUUGUUUAAUUCGACGCAACGCGAAGAACCUUACCAAGCCUUGACAUACUCAGCUAUGGAAACAUAGAGUUCUUAGUUUACUUGCACACGGAGACAGGUGGUGCAUGGUUGUCGUCAGCUCGUGUCGUGAGAUGUUGGGUUAAGUCCCGCAACGAGCGCAACCCCAGCGUCCGUUGGCCGUCGCUUUAUUGAGCACUCUAAAGAGACUGCCGGGGAUAAAACGGAGGAAGGUGGGGACGACGUCAAAUCAUCAUGCCCCUUAUGUUUUGGGCUACACACGUACUACAAUGGCCGGUACAAAGGGAAGCGACAGCGUAAGCUGAAGCGGAUCUCAGAAAAGUAGUCCCAGUUCAGAUUGUAGGCUGAAACUCGCCUACAUGAAGUUGGAGUCGCUAGUAAUGGCGGAUCAGCAUGCCGCCGUGAAUACGUUCCCGGGCCUUGUACACACCGCCCGUCACACCAUGGGAGUUGGGAGCGCCCGAAGCCGGUGACUCAACCCGUAAGGGAGAGAGCCGUCGAAGGUGGGGUUAGUAAUUGGGGUGAAGUCGUAACAAGGUAACC